CGCAGUUACUCUCUUGGUACUAAAGAAUGGAGAGAAUUGUGGGGAACAGAAUGGCUCCUGCCAGGCAAGGAGGAAGCCAGGGCUGUGGGGGAAGAAUACCUGGAACACACAAGAGUGGAGCAAGCUCUUGUGGCUGACCCUGACACAGGGGUAGGAACUGAACCUCUGGGGAGAAGCCCUGUGUAUUGUUGCUUGUUACAAAGCACCAGGAAGAGGUUGGGGAAAAGGCCCGAAGAAAGACUAAUGGUAGGAAGGAGUCCAGGUGUUACUAUCUCCUGUGCAAUUGCUGCUCUCCAUGCGGUACCUGGCCUGUUGCUACAUACAGACCUUCUGUUUCCAAUGCUGUCAACUUCUAUGAGCACAGACCUUUUUGUAAAAAUGCAUUCCCCACAAGAAGUCAUUGGGAGUUAGAAACAGAAACCUCCAGGAAACGACCCCAGAAGAACACCAAAUAGCUUCCCCAUGCCCAAGGAAUGGACAGUCGCCACCCAGGUCUCCCAGUUAUCACCCUUCACUCACACUGGCAACAGAAAUACUGUGGUCCCAAAUUGCUCAGUGGAUCUUACACCUCCAGUGUAAACGUCUAUUUCAUUCCACAAUCUUUGGGCUCCUUGGAAUUCUGCAACCUCGGCAGGAAAUUUGAUCCCAAGCACAUUUACAUGGAUGAAGGUGGCGUUAUGUGGAGCUUCAAAGAGGCAGGCAGGUGGGCUUAGCAGACGCGAUAGCUGAUGAGGAAGCCAUAGGCUAAGUCUGGUUUAUGUAACAAAUAAAAUGUUUUCAACAAAAACUCAUGAAUUUUACACAUACAAAAUGGUGGGAAAUCUCUGUAUCUUAUGCAAAGAGCUUUAAUUCCAUUUCUGCACCCCGCUAUGUGGAAGGUUAAUCAGACUGUUAUACAAGGCUGCUGGCCCAAAUUUUAAUGCAUUCAUUGUGUUUCAGAGACUUGGAAUGGCUAAUUAUGGAUAACAAGCUCCUGGAUUAUAAUAGUCAUCCCAGCCCACAAGCAUGCAUUUGAGUUAGCAUUGGGAAGAGGAUAAUUCUACAGAAAUAGCUCAUUUUCUUUCAGUGGUUUGAGCAGUUUUGGCUGCAAUUAAGACUACAGUAACCUAUAGAGGGCAUUCAGAUCUUUUGCAUCUCCUCUUCAGAUGCAUGCAAUACAAAUAGUCUUGGCAGAAUUCAAUUUUUUAAAAUAAUUUUGACAGCUAAUAUCAAUGUUUAUUUUUAGCAGU